rnacentral:lncRNA from 1 species
UCAUCCUUUGAUAGUAUGUUAAGAGAAAAGGCCUUUCUCACCUUCCUGUUCUGUCUCUGUCUUCCCUCCCUUCCUCAGUCUCUAGAAGUAGCAACAUGGUGAUGCAGACACAGCAAUCACCCACACUAUGAUGGUUCUUGAGCUUAUUGUAGUGUCUGCGCUCACCAUUUUUGCUAGACAAAAAGAGAGAGGGAGAGGAAGUAAAGAGAAAGAAAAGGAUGUCAUCAGCGUGUGAAGACAAGUCAUGGAGGGGGCUAUAUUACCUCUAGACAGCUCUAGUCAUUGAAACAAGAUUUGGAAUCAAGAAGCCAUCUGGGCCAUCUUGUAGUUUCCCAUGGAGUGUUCUAUUCAAUCUAAUUAUGUAUGCUUCAUUGCUCACUAUCAAGGUAAGCGAAUCUACUCUUCUGCCAUAGAAACAAAGAGUGUUGAUACAUGUCAUUCUUCUUGUCACUUGCCAACUUCCUAAAUGGAAUGUUGAUUUUUGUACUCCUUCGCAUUUUUCUGUCCCUGGAUCUUGGGUGUUAUCAGCCACCAAAAUAGCAUGGCAAUGCAUAUGGCAAACAUGAAAGAAUAAUCUGAGUGCUGAAGCCCACGAAGUGUUUUGAAGGCUGCUACCAAUUCUCAUGUGUCCCUGGUUGAUGGUUCUGGGUCUGUUUUUGGACCAAACCAUCAGAAGUUGAGUACUCGUAGGCGGGAUCAAGUUCUCCAUAUGAAAUAAGAAAGAUAUCUAGUUUGAGCUUCUUGUAUCGUCAACAUGCUCAGAAGAAAUAAAUCGGCUUCCAUAAAUCCACUAACACAUGCAGCAACAUCAUUAAAAAACCUUGUUGGUAAGAAGUCAUUUAUAAAGCCAAAAUGGAACCAAUGUUGGUAGGUUAAGAAAAUAAUGAGCAAUUAGGAGUUGAACCAUGAAGAAACGUCUGCUUAAAUGGAUGUCUUGUUGAGACACACUAAGUUCCUCUUGAGCGGAGCUCCAAACGCCAACCCCCCCCCC